CCCAAAAUGCGUUGAGGCGCAGCAGUUGACUGGACAUCUAGGGGUAAAGCACGGUUUCGGUGCGGGCCGCAAGAGCGGUACCAAAUUGAGGCAAACUCUGAAUAUUAUAUAUGACCUCAAAAUAAUAGGGGGCAAGGUAGGCUAGUGAGACGAUGGGGAUAAGCUUCAUCAUUAAGAGGGUGGGAAAGGGCCCGGAUCACCAGCUAAGGCCCCUAAAUGACCGCUCAGUGAUAAAGGAGGUAGGGGUGUAGAGAUAGCCAGGAGGUUUGCCUAGAAGCAGCCACCCUUGAAAGAGUAUGUAAUAGCUCACUGAUCGAGCACUCUUGCACCAAAGAUGAACGGGGCUAAGCGAUCUGCCGAAGCUGUGGGAUGUCAAAAUACAUCGGUAGGG
rnacentral:ncRNA from 1 species